rnacentral:lncRNA from 1 species
UUCAUAUUAUGUUUUUUGUAAUGCAGUCAAGGAUUUUGGUAUCUUGCUGCUUUAGACCUGCUUUUGCACUUGUAAAUGCUAGCAUGACAAGCUUUUGAUUACAGUUGUGUGUUAAAGAAUCACAAUAUACAGAAACAGGAAAAGCCUACUGGGUUACUGGAUCCACCCUGUUAAGUGUAACUAACAGUUUAAAAAUGAGGUGAAGGAUCUGGUGUUAAGCUAAUAAUGAAUUAGCUAUUGGCUGUGUUAAUAGAAAUAAACUGAUUUUGACAAGAACUCAAGCUCAUCAUAGCUGUCUUGAAGAGCAAAAGGCUUCUUGUUCUGGACUCAUAAUUUCUGUCCUUACUCCCAAAGGGUUACAGUGCUGUACGUGCUUUUAGCAAAUAAGGGAUUGUGUUAUGUAAAGUUUUAAAAGCUUGCAAUGAAGGACAAAUCCGCUUUCCCUCACAGUCUGCUGUGUGCUGGAUAUGAAAUUGGGGUCAUGAAAUACUGAAACAUCUUGUCUGUGUGACUGAAUGGAACUGUGGAUCUCAGAUGUCUAUCAGGUUCAUGUUAACAAAGCAAGUGAAGCACACACAGGGAACUUUUGUGAUUGUGGCAUUGUGAAUUACCUUACUGAAUGGGCACAAUACACUUCAGUGUGAAUUACAGAAAGCAAGAAUCAUCUUCUCUGCUUUGAGUAAGGUAAGGAUAAAAUACACAGCUC